UACGUAGGGGGCAAGCGUUGUCCGGAAUUAUUGGGCGUAAAGCGCGCGCAGGCGGUUCUUUAAGUCUGAUGUGAAAGCCCACGGCUCAACCGUGGAGGGUCAUUGGAAACUGGGGAACUUGAGUACAGAAGAGGAAAGCGGAAUUCCACGUGUAGCGGUGAAAUGCGUAGAGAUGUGGAGGAACACCAGUGGCGAAGGCGGCUUUCUGGUCUGUAACUGACGCUGAGGCGCGAAAGCGUGGGGAGCAAACAGG
rnacentral:rRNA from 1 species